rnacentral:rRNA from 1 species
GACGAACGCUGGCGGCGUGCUUAACACAUGCAAGUCGAACGGAAAGGCCCUGCUUUUGUGGGGUGCUCGAGUGGCGAACGGGUGAGUAACACGUGAGUAACCUGCCCUUGACUUUGGGAUAACUUCAGGAAACUGGGGCUAAUACCGGAUAGGAGCUCCUGCUGCAUGGUGGGGGUUGGAAAGUUUCGGCGGUUGGGGAUGGACUCGCGGCUUAUCAGCCUGUUGGUGGGGUAGUGGCUUACCAAGGCUUUGACGGGUAGCCGGCCUGAGAGGGUGACCGGCCACAUUGGGAAUGAGAUACGGCCCAGACUCCUACGGGAGGCAGCAGUGGGGAAUAUUGCACAAUGGGCGGAAGCCUGAUGCAGCAACGCCGCGUGCGGGAUGACGGCCUUCGGGUUGUAAACCGCUUUCGCCUGUGACGAAGCGUGAGUGACGGUAAUGGGUAAAGAAGCACCGGCUAACUACGUG